UACGUAGGGUGCGAGCGUUAAUCGGAAUUACUGGGCGUAAAGCGUGCGCAGGCUGUUCUGUAAGUCAGAUGUGAAAUCCCCGAGCUCAACUUGGGAACUGCGUUUGAAACUACAGGACUAGAAUAUGUCAGAGGGGGGUAGAAUUCCACGUGUAGCAGUGAAAUGCGUAGAGAUGUGGAGGAAUACCAAUGGCGAAGGCAGCCCCCUGGGAUAAUAUUGACGCUCAUGCACCGAAAAGCGUGGGGGAG
rnacentral:rRNA from 1 species